GACGAACGCUGGCGGCGUGCUUAACACAUGCAAGUCGUACGGUAAGGCCCUUUCGGGGGUACACGAGUGGCGAACGGGUGAGUAACACGUGAGUAACCUGCCCACAACUUUGGGAUAACGCUAGGAAACUGGUGCUAAUACUGGAUAUGUGCUCCUGCUGCAUGGUGGGGGUUGGAAAGCUCCGGCGGUUGUGGAUGGACUCGCGGCCUAUCAGCUUGUUGGUGGGGUAGUGGCCUACCAAGGCGGCGACGGGUAGCCGGCCUGAGGGGGUGACCGGCCACAUUGGGACUGAGAUACGGCCCAGACUCCUACGGGAGGCAGCGGUGGGGAAUAUUGCACAAUGGGCGCAAGCCUGAUGCAGCAACGCCGCGUGCGGGAUAACGGCCUUCGGGUUGUAAACCGCUUUCAGCAGGGACGAAGCUUUUUGUGACGGUACCUGCAGAAGAAGCACCGGCUAACUACGUG
rnacentral:rRNA from 1 species